CUGAAAUCUGCUUCUGUGUUGAUGUUUUUCUCUCUUUGUUGCCUGGAAAUUUGCCCGAAAGUCAUAGGUCACGGAUGGCAGUCUUAUUAUCACCUCACUACAUGAGAUCCUUGCAGAAAAGAAGCUUUCUGCCUCAUCUCACGUUUAUGCCAUUGUAUAUAUACUUGUUAUAUUCUGGAACAAGUUUCUGGCAACAUGCUACGCAUGAGUGGAAGGAGGCAGAGAAGACUUCUUGGAGGACUGAGAGCUGGGACGGGCACUGUGGCUGGUUCUCCCUGUUCCAGAGAAGAACUGCCUGCCAGGUUCCUCAGCUGCAAGCCCUCUGAGUGGUCCUGUUUUCUGCAAACAAGACAAAGCAAGGAAAUGGGCCAUCAUCUCUGCCUUUCAGUGCAGCAUGUCCUCUGUCCUCUUGACAGGCUCCAGCCCAGAUGCCAAUACCUCCGACUUUAAGGUAUUAAUGUUGUCAAACUGAAGUAGUUUGAAUGGAAAAUUUUCUCUAUGCGUUUCUGGCUCAUAGUGUCUUUAGUUUUGUUUUCUGAUUUAACCAGAAUAUAAUGAAUUGUCUGAAGAUGGGGGUUGGAAAAAUGCAUUCUUCAGUCAUGUUGUAGUGUUUUGUUGUUUAAUUAUUUACAACAAACCUGAAACAUAAUUUGUGUGGAGAGAGGCAGGGAAUUAUUGUGGCUCAAGAGCAGUAUGCCUUAUACUUUUUCUGAGGGAAAAAAACUUGGAAUUUUAUAUGCUUUUAAUUUUCAGUAAAUUUCAAGCUAACAUAUACAGAAAGUCCCUACCACUACGAACCAUGUCAUGGAAUACAGCAGUAGAAGUUAAAGUAGGCCUUUUCUGUAGCUGGUCUUGAGCUAUGGAAUUUGAAUAGAGGCAGUUCCUAUGUUUUUCCCUUCCUCCUUCUGUUACACCUUGGAAAGAAAGACAACUUAAAAUGCAAACAAUUGGAAAAAAAGAGAAGGGACCUGAUGAGGGAGACAAUAAUGUUGGGGGAGGGGCAAAGAUGAUGGAGAGAAUAAGUAUUGUGUGAAAUUAUUUAGGAGUGGGAAGGGAACACAGUAGGAACUGUAUGUUGUGUUUGAAGGAGCAGAAAAAUUUACAGUUAUGAUAACAUAACACUUUUCAGAGCCUUGAAAUAAAUCAGUGUUGAUAU
rnacentral:lncRNA from 7 species